CGGAUAAAAGGUACUCCGGGGAUAACAGGCUGAUACCGCCCAAGAGUUCAUAUCGACGGCGGUGUUUGGCACCUCGAUGUCGGCUCAUCACAUCCUGGGGCUGAAGUAGGUCCCAAGGGUAUGGCUGUUCGCCAUUUAAAGUGGUACGCGAGCUGGGUUUAGAACGUCGUGAGACAGUUCGGUCCCUAUCUGCCGUGGGCGCUGGAGAAUUGAGGGGGCUGCUCCUAGUACGGAGAGGACCGGAGUGGACGCAUCACUGGUGUUCGGGUUGUCAUGCCAAUGGCACUGCCCGGUAGCUAAAUGCGGAAGAGAUAAGUGCUGAAAGCAUCUAAGCACGAAACUUGCCCCGAGAUGAGUUCUCCCUGAGACUUUAAGUCUCCUGAAG
rnacentral:rRNA from 1 species